rnacentral:rRNA from 1 species
UACAGAGGGUGCGAGCGUUGUUCGGAAUCAUUGGGCGUAAAGCGCGUGUAGGUGGUCAUCUAAGUCGAGUGUGAAAUCCCUGGGCUCAACCUAGGAAGUGCAUCCGAAACUAGUUGACUAGAAGACAGUAGAGGAAAGUGGAAUUCCAAGUGUAGAGGUGAAAUUCGUAGAUAUUUGGAGGAAUACCGGCGGCGAAGGCGGCUUUCUGGGCUGUUCUUGACACUGAGACGCGAAAGCGUGGGUAGCAAACAGG